rnacentral:rRNA from 1 species
UACGGAGGGUGCAAGCGUUACUCGGAAUCACUGGGCGUAAAGCGCGCGUAGGCGGGCUUUCAAGUCGGUUGUGAAAUCCCUCAGCUCAACUGAGGAACUGCAUCCGAUACUGGUUGUCUUGAGGACGAGAGGGGAGAGUGGAACUUCUGGUGGAGCGGUGAAAUGCGUAGAUAUCAGAAGGAACGCCGGUGGCGAAAGCGACUCUCUGGCUCGUAUCUGACGCUGAGGCGCGAAAGCUUGGGUAGCAAACGGG